rnacentral:rRNA from 1 species
UACGUAGGGUGCAAGCGUUAAUCGGAAUUACUGGGCGUAAAGCGUGCGCAGGCGGUCGUGUAAGACAGAUGUGAAAUCCCCGGGCUCAACCUGGGAACUGCAUUUGUGACUGCACGGCUUGAGUGCGGCAGAGGGAGAUGGAAUUCCGCGUGUAGCAGUGAAAUGCGUAGAUAUGCGGAGGAACACCGAUGGCGAAGGCAGUCUCCUGGGCCUGCACUGACGCUCAUGCACGAAAGCGUGGGGAG